GACUAAUCUUAGCCUGACUAUAUCAUAUAAUAACCAACCAUGCACUCCUUAAUCAAAACAUUUACCGCUGCUAAUAGUAGUAUAGGAGAUAGAACUUUUACUCAGCGCUAUAGAGAUAGUACCGCAAGGGAAAAAUGAAAGAAUAAUUUAAAGUGUAAAAAAGCAAAGCUAAACCCUUGUACCUUUUGCAUAAUGAUUUAACUAGAAUAAUCUGACAAAAAGAAUUUAAGUCAGGGAACCCGAAACCAGACGAGCUACUCAUAAACAGCUGAUAUAGAGCACACUCAUCUAUGUAGCAAAAUAGUGAGAAGAUUUAUAAGUAGAGGUGAAAGGCCUACCGAGCCUGGUGAUAGCUGGUUAUCCAGAAAAGAAUUUUAGUUCUACUUUAAAUUAACCCAAAGUAAUUCAUCAAACCCUAUGUUAAUUUAAAUGUUAUUCUAAAGAGGGACAGCUCUUUAGAUUAGGCUACAACCUCUAGUAUAGAGUAAACAAUUUCAAUACCAUAGUUGGCCUAAAAGCAGCCAUCAAUUAAGAAAGCGUUCAAGCUCAACAUAUAAUAACAACUUAAUCCCAUAAAUAUAACUAUAUCUCCUACUAAACAACUGGAUUAAUCUAUAUUUCCCAUAGAAGUAAUUCUGUUAAUAUAAGUAACAAGAAUAUUAAUUCUCCUAGCAUAAGCUUAUACCAGAUCGGAUGCCCACUGGUAAUUAACAACAAGAUAAAGCUAUUUACCUCACAAGUCCUUUAUCUUUAAUAACUGUUAACCCAACACAGGCAUGCAUUAAGGAAAGACCUAAAAAAGUAAAAGGAACUCGGCAAAAUAUUAACCUCGCCUGUUUACCAAAAACAUCACCUUCAGCCUACCUAAUAUUGAAGGCACUGCCUGCCCAGUGACAUAUGUUCAACGGCCGCGGUAUCCUGACCGUGCAAAGGUAGCAUAAUCACUUGUUCUUUAAUUAAGGACUUGAAUGAAUGGCUACACGAAGGUUUGACUGUCUCUUACUUUCAGUCAGUGAAAUUGACCUCCCCGUGAAGAGGCGGGGAUAUAAUAAUAAGACGAGAAGACCCUAUGGAGCUUAAAUAACCUAAUCCAAAUAAAUCUACUCUGAUCCCUAUUACUAGGAAUAAAAAAAAUAAUUCAUGGAUUAUAAAUUUCGGUUGGGGUGACCUCGGAGCAUAACUAAACCUCCGAACAAGUUUAACCCAGACAUAACCAGUCAAAGUAACAAUAUUUACCAAUUGACCCAAAUUAUUUUGAUCAAUGGAACAAGUUACCCUAGGGAUAACAGCGCAAUCCUAUUACAGAGUCCAUAUCGACAAUAGGGUUUACGACCUCGAUGUUGGAUCAAGACACCCUAAUGGUGUAGCCGCUAUUAACGGUCCGUUUGUUCAACGGUUAAAGUCUUACGUGAUCUGAGUUCAGACCGGAGUAAUCCAGGUCGGUUUCUAUCUAUUUAAAUUUUCUCCCAGUACGAAAGGACAAGAGAACAAAGGACCAACUCUAAUCAAGCGCCCCAAGCACAAUAGAUGUAAUAAACUUAAUCUAAUAUGCCAAUAAAUAAUCUACCCAAAAUCAGGGUUU
rnacentral:rRNA from 1 species